AGUGACGGAUAUUGGGCGUAAGGGCUCGCAGGCGGUUUCUUAAGUCUGAUGUGAAAGCCCCCGGCUCAACCGGGGAGGGUCAUUGGAAACUGGGGAACUUGAGUGCAGAAGAGGAGAGUGGAAUUCCACGUGUAGCGGUGAAAUGCGUAGAGAUGUGGAGGAACACCAGUGGCGAAGGCGACUCUCUGGUCUGUAACUGACGCUGAGGAGCGAAAGCGUGGGGAGCGAACAGGAUUAGAUACCCGCGUAGUCACAAC
rnacentral:rRNA from 1 species